GACGAACGCUGGCGGCGUGCUUAACACAUGCAAGUCGAACGGAAAGGCCCUGCUUUUGUGGGGUGCUCGAGUGGCGAACGGGUGAGUAACACGUGAGUAACCUGCCCUUGACUUCGGGAUAACUUCAGGAAACUGGGGCUAAUACCGGAUAGGAGCUCCUGCUGCAUGGUGGGGGUUGGAAAGUUUCGGCGGUUGGGGAUGGACUCGCGGCUUAUCAGCUUGUUGGUGGGGUAGUGGCUUACCAAGGCUUUGACGGGUAGCCGGCCUGAGAGGGUGACCGGCCACAUUGGGACUGAGAUACGGCCCAGACUCCUACGGGAGGCAGCAGGGGGGAAUAUUGCACAAUGGGCGGAAGCCUGAUGCAGCAACGCCGCGUGCGGGAUGACGGCCUUCGGGUUGUAAACCGCUUUCGCCUGUGACGAAGCGUGAGUGACGGUAAUGGGUAAAGAAGCACCGGCUAACUACGUG
rnacentral:rRNA from 1 species